rnacentral:rRNA from 1 species
CCUACGGGUGGCAGCAGUGGGGAAUCUUCCGCAAUGGGCGAAAGCCUGACGGAGCAACGCCGCGUGAUCGAAUGAAGGCCUUCGGGUUGUACAGAUCUGUUGACAGGGACGAAUAAGCAAUGCGAAUAGUUUUGUGUAUGACGGUACCUGUUUAGAAAGCUCCGGCUAACUACGUGCCCGCAGCCGCGGUAAUACGUAGGGAGCAAGCGUUGUCCGGAAUUACUGGGCGUAAAGGGCGCGUAGGUGGGAGUGUAAGUCAGGUGUGAAAACGCCGGGCUCAACCUGGAGACUGCAAUUGAAACUGGGUGUCUUGAGGGCAGGAGAGGAAAGUGGAAGUCCGAGGGUAGAGGUGAAAUGCGGAGAUAUUAGGAGGAACACCAGUGGCGAAGGCGACUUUCUGGACCGUAACUGACGCUGAGGCGCGAAAGCGUGGGUAGCGAACGGGAUUAGAUACCCUAGUAGUC